rnacentral:rRNA from 1 species
UACGUAGGGGGCAAGCGGUAUCCGGAUUUACUGGGUGUAAAGGGUGCGUAGCCGGAAAUGCAAGUCAGAUGUGAAAGCCCGAAGCUCAACUUCGGGACUGCAUUUGAAACUGUAUUUCUAGAGUGCAGGAGAGGAAAGUGGAAUUCCUAGUGUAGCGGUGAAAUGCGUAGAUAUUAGGAGGAACACCAGUGGCGAAGGCGACUUUCUGGACUGUAACUGACGGUGAGGCACGAAAGCGUGGGGAGCAAACAGG